CGGGAGGCAGCAGUGGGGAAUAUUGCACAAUGGGCGCAAGCCUGAUGCAGCCAUGCCGCGUGUGUGAAGAAGGCCUUCGGGUUGUAAAGCACUUUCAGUCGUGAGGAAGGUGGUGUAGUUAAUAGCUGCAUUAUUUGACGUUAGCGACAGAAGAAGCACCGGCUAACUCCGUGCCAGCAGCCGCGGUAAUACGGAGGGUGCGAGCGUUAAUCGGAAUUACUGGGCGUAAAGCGCAUGCAGGUGGUUUGUUAAGUCAGAUGUGAAAGCCCGGGGCUCAACCUCGGAAUAGCAUUUGAAACUGGCAGACUAGAGUACUGUAGAGGGGGGUAGAAUUUCAGGUGUAGCGGUGAAAUGCGUAGAGAUCUGAAGGAAUACCGGUGGCGAAGGCGGCCCCCUGGACAGAUACUGACACUCAGAUGCGAAAGCGUGGGGAGCAAACAGGAUUAGAUACCCUGGUAGUCCACGCCGUAAACGAUGUCUACUUGGAGGUUGUGGCCUUGAGCCGUGGCUUUCGGAGCUAACGCGUUAAGUAGACCGCCUGGGGAGUACGGUCGCAAGAUUAAAACUCAAAUGAAUUGACGGGGGCCCGCACAAGCGGUGGAGCAUGUGGUUUAAUUCGAUGCAACGCGAAGAACCUUACCUACUCUUGACAUCCAGAGAACUUUCCAGAGAUGGAUUGGUGCCUUCGGGAACUCUGAGACAGGUGCUGCAUGGCUGUCGUCAGCUCGUGUUGUGAAAUGUUGGGUUAAGUCCCGCAACGAGCGCAACCCUUAUCCUUGUUUGCCAGCGAGUAAUGUCGGGAACUCCAGGGAGACUGCCGGUGAUAAACCGGAGGAAGGUGGGGACGACGUCAAGUCAUCAUGGCCCUUACGAGUAGGGCUACACACGUGCUACAAUGGCGCAUACAGAGGGCGGCCAACUUGCGAAAGUGAGCGAAUCCCAAAAAGUGCGUCGUAGUCCGGAUUGGAGUCUGCAACUCGACUCCAUGAAGUCGGAAUCGCUAGUAAUCGUGGAUCAGAAUGCCACGGUGAAUACGUUCCCGGGCCUUGUACACACCGCCCGUCACACCAUGGGAGUG
rnacentral:rRNA from 1 species